rnacentral:tRNA from 1 species
GCGCGCGGCCUGCGACCCGAAUACGCUCAGCAUCUGACUACGGAUCAGAAGGUUGGGGGUUCGAAUCCCUCCGGGCGCA